rnacentral:lncRNA from 1 species
CCGUCGCCGCCGCGCGCGCCUACGACACCGCCGUCUUCUACCUCCGCGGCCGCUCCGCGCGCCUCAACUUCCCCGACCAGCUCCUCGACGGCACUGCCCCCGCCGCCGCGCCCGGGGACCUCACCGCCGCCGCCAUCCGCAAGAAGGCCGCCGAGGUCGGCGCGCGCGUCGACGCGCUCCACUCCGGCGGCAUCGGGGUCGGCAUGGGCGCCCCUGCGGCACCGCCGUCGCCGUCCCAGCGCCGCAGGGCCAAGAACCCCGACCUCAACCGGGAGCCCACCCCCGACACCGACGACGACGAGUGAACUGCUGUAAACCCCCGCCAAUUCUUCAGUUCUUCUCCGACCACCAUCACCACCUACAUACCUAGUACUAGUGCGUCUUAAUUAGUGGUUAGCAACCAGCAGCGAGGUAGCUAGCGGUAGCAGAGCAUCAACCAUCUCAGUGAGCAAGCAGAUACUAGUUCAGUCAGUUCAAGAAGACAUGGGGAAGCAAGCAUGGAUCGGACAUGCAAGGUGUUCGGUGAAAUGCCGGAUGAGCUCGGGGACCAAACCCGACCAAUAAUGGAGCCGCGACGUCGCAGUCAGCUCGGCCAGGGGGUUACUAAGUAGGGCCUGGGCUAUCAGCGACGGCGAGCUUGGUGGCAGUAGACUCAGGGUGUGUGAGUGCGUGCUUGGGCAUGGGCAUGCACCUAAGCAAGGUGCAUGGCCAUGUACCGACCUGCAUCAGAUAUAAGAGUGUUUGUAAAGAGAGAUACCGGCGAACAAACAAAAGCUUCAAGAAUCAUUCCAUGCACGCACUCUCUCUUUCGUCUCUGUUUCUUCAUCUUGAUUCCCACAUCAUCAUGGCCCGAUUCCAGGAAAGCAGCAGCGGCAGUGCAAUUCCGUGUGCUUUUUCGAGAGGAACACCGAACACGGCGGCCAGGUCCCAGUUCCCACCCGCCUCAAAAGCAGCAGCAGCAGCCGCCACCGCCGUAGCGUCUCGUGGUGCGCCUCCCCUCGUGUCGGCGUGCCGUGGCCGUGGUGGGCCGCCGACGUGGCCCGUGGUGCGUCUCCCCUCGUGUCGGCGUGCCGCGGCCGUGGUUAGCCGGUGGUGGGCCGCAUCCUCCACCUGCGCCGGCCACCGCCGGGCGAGUCAGGCGUACUGCCUCGUGUGUACGGCAUAUGAUGAUGGGUGUCAGUGGA